rnacentral:rRNA from 1 species
ACACGACUACAUUAGAUACCCGCGUAGUCCUAGCCGUAAACGAUACUCGCUAGGUGUCGGCCACGGUGCGACCGUUGUCGGUGCCGUAGGGAAGCCGUGAAGCGAGCCACCUGGGAAGUACGGCCGCAAGGCUGAAACUUAAAGGAAUUGGCGGGGGAUCACCACAACGGGUGGAGCUUGCGGUUUAAUUGGACUCAACGCCGGGAAGCUCACCGGAUAAGACAGCGGAAUGAUUGCCGGGCUGAAGACUCUGCAUGACUAGCUG